GAAAUGCCAAGUGCACUUCUCUAAAGCUGAGGAACAUUUUUUUGUCUUUAGGGAUGAUUUGUAGAGGGUUGCAUGGUAUCAGGGCCAUAAAUGGAUGGUUUAGACUGAGUUAGCAAGCAGGAGGACUAAGGACCCAAUUAAUUGAGUUUACAUGCCACAAGAAUAUAAAUUGCUCUCACGUACUGUUUGCCACACUAACUUUGCUCUUUUUCCUUCUCUAGAACCCUGUCUCCCUUACUCUGUAUCAUCCUAACUCUUCAAGACAAAAAGAAUGCAGCACUAAAUACCACAGUGUUUUCCAUAGUUACCAAAGGAACAAGUUGGAACUUCACACAGUACAUGGAAGCAUGAUCUACCUAAUGAGCAUCUGUAAUUCUGGAAGAACAUGUUCCAACAAGGCUUGGAAGCAGGAAAUAAGAUACAGACUAACCAUGCCCUCCCUUGCAGUGUGCAAGACAAGACAGCGCCUCGAUUAAGUCAGCAAAGGAAGGUGUGCAUGGGCAGGAUUGGUGCGGGGGAGGAGGAGGGAUGCCCCGAAGAAGGGCUCCGCUCCCGCGGCAGAGGUGCGCGUAGGAUGCCUUCUUCGCGCAGCGCAUCCUGCCAACCCCGGAGACGCUCACAGCCAGACCCGCUCUUCUCCGCGGGGCGAGAGAGGCGCCGCCGUUUCCCGCCUGCUUACCUUGGCAAUAGGCGACCAGCAGAGCCAGGUAAAUGGCACCUCGCACCGGCGCCUCCAUCUCGCGAGGCGCUUCGAGGGAGGGGGGGCAGGUCGGCGCAAAGGCGGCACCGGUACGCAAAGUACAACUGGCCCGCCGGGACGAGCCGAACGACUGAGGCGCGGCGGCCACGAGCGAGCGCUCGCGCGGGAGGCGCGCUGCCCAGCUCCGCCCAGAAACCCCGCUCCGGCUACUGUCUGCCGCCCUCUUAGAGACCCCCGGCGAAAGCAACCUGGCCUCGUGCGUAUUCGCCGCCCGCGAGACCCUCCUCCCACUAAGUUUUGCUUAGCAAAAGAAAGAAGAAACGUCUCUCUUCGUAGAGUUUCCCGCCCUCGAGUGCGUGUUCUUGGUGUGGAGCAAUUCCCUUCACCUGCGUCGUCAAAGAAGCUCCUCCUCUUCCCCCCCCCCCCCCCGACCCCCGGCGAAAGCAACCUGGCCUCGUGCGUAUUCGCCGCCCGCGAGACCCUCCUCCCACUAAGUUUUGCUUAGCAAAAGAAAGAAGAAACGUCUCUCUUCGUAGAGUUUCCCGCCCUCGAGUGCGUGUUCUUGGUGUGGAGCAAUUCCCUUCACCUGCGUCGUCAAAGAAGCUCCUCCUCUUCCCCCCCCCCCCCCCCUCCCANUUCAGGGCCUGACCAGAAGGAGCGACGAAACUUAAUACUUCCUUUGUUUUGUCUCCCGCUGACCUAUGACUAGGAAUGCGCUGUUUGAAGAGGUUUUAACCAUUUUUUCAAAGAUGUUUGCCUAGGUUCCGACCGCACUUGUCCAUUCUUGUCAGCUCUUUGCCACUGCGUGGUGAGCCCGGUUCCUCACCAAGAGGCCAGUGCUUCCCAUCCAUGGGUCCCCAAAUGUUCCUGGACUAAAACUCCCAGAAGCCUGCACCACUAGGUGUGCUGGCCAGGAUUUGUGCGAAUUGUAGUCCAAGAAUAUCUGGGGGCCCAAGGUUGGGAAGGACUGCUGGAGGCUAACCGGGACUAUAAAAAAUAGUUGUGCAAAAGGUGUGUGCAGCUGCCCAGUAUAGGCCACUUAAA
ensembl:lncRNA